CAGGUACAGUAAAAUCAUUGCUGCCAUCCUGGUGUGGGCAUAGCUUCCGGGAAUGCUCAGAAAGCCCAUUCUACUGAUGCACCCAGCGUGUGACCCAAAGUGCAGAAUCACAGGUCAUCUCCCAGGCCAAACAUCCUCCACAGCACAGGAAGUACGUCGGGAGGGAAGGGAAUGAAAGUUUGAAAAAGAGUCAGAAGCCAGUCUGUCAAAAGGUUUUCCAAAUCUUACAGCUUACAUAUGAGAAAAAGUUGACAGAAGUUAUCCACAACUUGAUAAUAACACUAACACACAGCAGGUGGCUCUAGGGAUGUCUAGGCUUCUUUCUCACCUGACCCAGCCAUCCUGACAACAAGCAGUAGAGCACUGGGGUUUAGGGUAGUGGC
rnacentral:lncRNA from 1 species